CUCAGUUCGGAUUGCAGGCUGCAACUCGCCUGUAUGAAGUCGGAAUUGCUAGUAAUCGCGGAUCAGCAUGCCGCGGUGAAUACGUUCCCGGGCCUUGUACACACCGCCCGUCACACCAUGAGAGCCGGGAACACCCGAAGUCCGUAGUCUAACCGCAAGGAGGACGCGGCCGAAGGUGGGUUUGGUAAUUGGGGUGAAGUCGUAACAAGGUAGC
rnacentral:rRNA from 1 species